rnacentral:rRNA from 1 species
UACGUAGGGUGCAAGCGUUAAUCGGAAUUACUGGGCGUAAAGCGUGCGCAGGCGGCUUUGCAAGACAGAUGUGAAAUCCCCGGGCUUAACCUGGGAACUGCAUUUGUGACUGCAAGGCUGGAGUGCGGCAGAGGGGGAUGGAAUUCCACGUGUAGCAGUGAAAUGCGUAGAGAUGUGGAGGAAUACCGAUGGCGAAGGCAGCCCCCUGGGCCAAUACUGACGCUCAUGCACGAAAGCGUGGGGAGCAAACAGG